rnacentral:rRNA from 1 species
AGAUUGAACGCUGGCGGCAGGCCUAACACAUGCAAGUCGAGCGGUAGAGAGGUGCUUGCAUCUCUUGAGAGCGGCGGACGGGUGAGUAAUGCCUAGGAAUCUGCCUAGUGGUGGGGGAUAACGUUCGGAAACGGACGCUAAUACCGCAUACGUCCUACGGGAGAAAGCGGGGGACCUUCGGGCCUCGCGCCAUUAGAUGAGCCUAGGUCGGAUUAGCUAGUUGGUGAGGUAAUGGCUCACCAAGGCGACGAUCCGUAACUGGUCUGAGAGGAUGAUCAGUCACACUGGAACUGAGACACGGUCCAGACUCCUACGGGAGGCAGCAGUGGGGAAUAUUGGACAAUGGGCGAAAGCCUGAUCCAGCCAUGCCGCGUGUGUGAAGAAAGGUCUUCGGAUUUGUAAAAGCAACUUUAAGUUUAGGGAGGAAGGUUAGUAACUUAAUACGUUGCAACUUUUGACGUUUACCGACAGAAUAAAGCAACCGCAACUUCGUGCCAGCAGCGA